CAGGAGUACAACAUUAUUUUUGGGUUCUUGAUUUAACACAACAACAAAACAUGUCUUGUUAGUGAGGGAGAAGAUUGGUCCGAUCGCAACCCCAGACUUCAUCCAGAACGCUCCUGGACUUCCUAAAACACGAUCUGGUAAGAUCAUGAGGCGGGUCCUGAGGCAGAUCGCCCGGAACGAGAAGGAUCUAGGUGACCUUUCAACUAUGGCUGACCCCAAGGUCGUAGAGGUCCUGUUCAACCACCGCUGUGAAACGGCCUCUUGAGGGGCUGCAUGUCAACACUCUACAGUAGCUUCUUCUCCUCAUCUCCUCUCCUCGUCUCCUCAUCUCCUCUCCUCGUCUCCUCCUCCCUCUCCAUCCACACUGAUCUGAAAACUAUGGAAGCCCAUUCCUGCCACCAACUCUUUAAAAAAUUAUUAUUAUUUUUUUUAAAUAAUAACAUACUGCUACAAAUUAAGAAAUAUAUAUGUGCACAUUUAUUUCCAUAUAUCCACGUUGCAGAGAUCAGCACAGCAGGGUGGCUGGCAUUUACCCCAACACUUUUUCAAUUCGGUUUAAUAAAAAAUAUUGACACAAAAGCAUUGAAGAUUACUGUUGUUUAGAAUGAUUUUGCCUUUAUGAUUUGUCAACUCGUGCUUCAGUCUGAUCAACUGUAGUCUACUGAUAACGACCACAGCUACAGGUGGCCUAGAGAAACCUAUGCACUCUGGUCUCUUCUGGCCAGGUGAAACGAAGCGGUAAUGUGGUGUUUUUAUAGCCAAAGAUUUGUAUUUAUAGCCUAAAAUAGGCCUAUUUUAUUUGUGUUAAAAGAAAAUGUGACUGUGAUCAAAUUUGAUUUUUAUAUUUUCCGACUUCGGGUGGCUCGUCUACCCAGACCGUAUCAAUCCAAAAUGAUUGACCUGAAAUCAAUCGAUGAACACAAUAGUGAUGACAUCCUGUACGAGUCACUUUUCAAUUACAGAUGUUAAAAGGCCCACACUUUUUAACCGUGCAUGCAGUCAGCACUGUUGGUUCUAUUGGCCAAUCACAGUUGUUGAUUAGUAUUUAAAGAAUAAAUCAUUUUUAAACCAGGAUGUUGGGAAAUAACAAUCUGCCCACAUGCAACCGUUUUAUUUCUAUUACUAUGUCAUACCCUACGACUUAGGUUCUGGAGUUUUACCUGGUUGGGUUAGCCUACCAGUUCAGGAAAAACUCUGGGGGGGGCCCCCCCCCUAGGAAAACCCCUCCUGUGGUGCCACCUCUGAAAAUCACCCCCACAGAGAGACGGAUGAAGAAGUAUGCUCUACAAUCUCAACCAUUUUUUUUUUUUUUUUUAAGUAUCUCAUCAUAACAAUAAAGGUGGUUGGCGGGAAUGGGCUUUCUGCAGAAAACACAGGUUAUAUAAUAUACAACAGGAAACAUGGCGGUAUUUUCUUAUCAUUCUGUCACUUCUUCAGCGUCAUUCUAGGAAGAUGGAGAUGAGGUGAGGAAGCUACGUUAAGACACCCAGAGAGUCCCCCUUCCUCCUCCACCUAAUCUGAAGAUGCUGAGGCCUGUCUCCUAGUCUGUGGACAAAGACACUUCAAUUAUUUUAAAUUGUACUGUUUGCUAUUCUUUAAACACGUGUUUUAUUCAUGUGCUGUUCUAUAAACCAGUGUGUGUGUUGAUCUGAUGGUCCCUAAGCGCUGAUCCUGGUCGUAAAUUAUUUUGUGUGGUCUGUUUGGAGGAUGGAUAUUAUUAGUGGUUGGGGGACAGAUCCUAGAUCAGAUCUUAUGGGAACGACUGACUUCGAUGUUGUCUAUGUAAGGGAAUUGCAGUCAAUUCAAAUGCCAAUCCCAAGGGCUCAAACCAAUGAACUCCGUUUAUUUCAACACUUUUCUAUACCCGGUCAAAAAGGACAUGAAACAAUCCCUAUUCCAAAUGAAUAUUUAUGCCCCAGUGUUGUCAUUUGCAUGUGAUAAUGGGUGGGCCAAUGUUGAGGUAAACUGGACACGGAAUCAGAAUCGUCCCUUGUUGCCUGGUCAGCAACCGAACCUCUGGAACCCCUGGAACCCCUGGAACCCCUGGAACCUCUGGAACAUUCAGUGUUCUGAUUGAUCAGCUUCUGUCUUCCAUCUUGUUUUUUUACAUGCUCCUCAGAUUAUAUAUUAUUAUUGAUCUGUAAAGUCUAAAUGAUGGAAAGCUAUGAUAAUUAUUCCCAGGGAGACCAGUCAGCUCUCAGUUCUUCCACAAACAUCGCUUCCAUUUGUUUGGACGUCUUUUGUCUAUUUCAACUUUGAGAUUUUAUGAUUUGAGAAUAAAACUGUUUAAUUUA